AUUGAACGCUGGCGGCAUGCCUUACACAUGCAAGUCGAACGGUAACAGGUCUUCGGAUGCUGACGGGUGGCGAACGGGUGAGUAAUACAUCGGAACGUGCCCGAUCGUGGGGGAUAACGGAGCGAAAGCUUUGCUAAUACCACAUACGAUCUACGGAUGAAAGCAGGGGACCGCAAGGCCUUGCGCGAACGGAGCGGCCGAUGGCAGAUUAGGUAGUUGGUGGGAUAAAAGCUUACCAAGCCGACGAUCUGUAGCUGGUCUGAGAGGACGACCGGCCACACUGGGACUGAGACACGGCCCAGACUCCUACGGGAGGCAGCAGUGGGGAAUUUUGGACAAUGGGCGAAAGCCUGAUCCAGCCAUGCCGCGUGCAGGAUGAAGGCCUUCGGGUUGUAAACUGCUUUUGUACGGAACGAAAAGACCCUGGUUAAUACCUGGGGUCCAUGACGGUACCGUAAGAAUAAGCACCGGCUAACUACGUGCCAGCCGCCGCCGUAACAC
rnacentral:rRNA from 1 species